GAUAAACGCUGGCGGCGUGCAUAACACAUGCAAGUCGAACGAUGAACCUUAUUAGAUUUCUUCGGAAUGAAAAUAAGUGGAUUAGUGGCGAACGGGUGAGUAACACGUGAGUAACCUGCCUUACACAAGGGGAUAGCCUUUGGAAACGAAGAAUAAUACCCUAUAAAGUCAAAAUAUCGCAUGAUAUAGUGACCAAAGAUUUAUCGGUGUAAGAUGGACUUGCGUCUGAUUAGCUAGUUGGUGAGAUAAAAGCCCACCAAGGCGACGAUCAGUAGCCGGCUUGAGAGAGUGUACGGCCACAUUGGGACUGAGACACGGCCCAAACUCCUACGGGAGGCAGCAGUGGGGAAUUUUGCACAAUGGGGGAAACCCUGAUGCAGCGACGCCGCGUGAUUUAGAAGGCCUUCGGGUUGUAAAAAUCUUUUUUAUGGGAUGAAAAUGACAGUACCAUAAGAAUAAGGUCCGGCUAAAUACGUGCCAGCAGCCGCGGUAAUACGUAUGGACCGAGCGUUGUCCGGAAUCAUUGGGCGUAAAGGGUACGUAGGCGGCCUAGUAAGUUAGAAGUGAAAUAAUAUAGCUCAACUAUAUAAAGCUUUUAAAACUGUUAGGCUUGAGAGAUGAAAGGGAAAGUGGAAUUCCUAGUGUAGCGGUGAAAUGCGCAGAUAUUAGGAAGAAUACCGGUGGCGAAGGCGACUUUCUGGUCAUCAUCUGACGCUGAGGCUCGAAAGCGUGGGGGAGCGAACAGG
rnacentral:rRNA from 1 species